UGGUUCGUUCAUAUCAUCAAGAAAGCAGCUUAUUCCAUUAGACCUCGAAAAUUAAGCUGGAUUGGGCGAUAAUGGUGCUACGGUGGAUGAUCACGUGGGAAGGUUUUGUGACAACCUGU
rnacentral:rRNA from 1 species